rnacentral:lncRNA from 1 species
UCACCACGCCUGGCCAUGUGAUGUUAAUUUUAUGUGUCAGCCUCAUUGGGCCAUAGGGUGCCCAAAACAGAUAUUUAGUUAAACAUAUUUCUGGAUGAAUCUGUGAGGAUGUUUCUGGAUGAUAGAAGCAUUUGAACUGGUAGGCCGAAUGACGAAGAUUGCCUUUCCCGAUGUGGCUUGGAAUCACCCAAUCAGCUGAUGGCCUCAACAGAAAGAACAAAGUGGUGGAGGAAGGAGAACACAUUUUCUCUGUCAGAUGGCCCGAGUAGGGACAUUGGUCUUCCCCUGCCCUCAGGCCAGAAGUUCACUAUCAGCGAUCCUGUUCUCCGGCCUUGGAACUGGAACUGGAACUUGUACCACUGGUUAUUCUGGUUCACAGGGCUACCACUGGUCUCCUGAGUCUCCAGAUUGCAGAUGGAAGACUGUGAGACUUUUCAGUCUCUAUAAUCCUCAACCUUUCCCUCUGCCUCUCCCUCCUCUAUUGGUACUGUUUCUGGAGAACCCUGACUAAUAUGUUAAUCAUGUUCUGUCAAAUUUUGGUGAUAUAUUUUUCUUAAAUCUGUCUCAUUGACUAUUCUCAAAAUCUGCCGAGUGGGGCCAUUCAUUGUUUCUCAGCUGAAGGACUGCAGUCACUUUUAGGUACUUCCCUACCUUUGGUCAUGCGUCUCUAUUCUUCAUCCUUUACACAGCUGCCAUUCCAGUCUUUCUAAACUAGAACUAUUCCUCUGAUUAAAAAUGAAACAAAGCUUAUUGUGACUGUAAUGAAAUCUGUGUACUGGACUUCUGUUGGCUCUGUGGUUCUCAGCAGCCUACCAGAACACAGAGCUUUCCAAACUCAGCCCUGGGCACAUCUGUUCCUUCAUCCAGGCUUUCCACCCUGCGUGGCUCUCACCCUUGUGUGUCCGUCCUUGUUUCUUAGAGGAGUCGUGUGCCUCCAAAUGCAUAUGCCUACGACCUUUUCUUUCUCUUGCCUGAAAUGCCAAACUUCAUUCUCCAUCAGGUGAAUUCCAACUCACCCCUGAAGAUGAGCUCAACUGUCUCUCUUGUGUGAAGCCUUCCCUGACACCCCUGAGAAUUUUCCAUCCACGUCACCACAGAGUAAUGUCCAUCCUCCUGUAGAACCAUUCACUCAUCACAGGGUAAUGAGGAAAAUGAGGCAGCCAGAUGGAGUCCCAGCAAAAGCAGACUUCAGGCAGAAGGAACGGCAAGUCCAGGGCUCUGGAUGAGAGAAGAUCAACAACAGGAGACAGAGGGACCCCUCUAGAGGCAGGAGGAAAGAUAAAUGGCCACAGGCUGCUGUCAUCUAGGCCAGGGUUCUGGCAGCAAUGAAAACACGUCUGCAGGAGGAGAAAGAAGUGCUUUUGAAUCCAUCUUACUCAUCGUCUGUCUCUUGUCUCUUCAAAGUGAAUGCAGUUGGAAGGAAAGGGACAGGUUGGUUCUGUGCUUUGCCCAAGUAGGUCCAAAUUCUGUUUUUUUUCAGGAUGUAGCAGGGUGAGCUGUUCUGACAAACUUGAUCUUAGCACAACAGGGGCAGUAAGGUCAUCAUCCCCACCAGUCCUUUGCCCUAGGAUUACAGGACCUGCCCCCAGAGGGACAGGAGCUCAUCCUACACUGUCCCAGUGUUUCUGUGAAACACCUUAGCUCCCUGGCUGAUUCCCCAGUGGCUCAGGGGCCCAGGGAGCCUCCUCACACCCAAGGUCCCUGUCCCCAGGUGUGGGGGAUCCCUAUGUAUGACAUUGUGGGUGACUGGGACUCCUCACUGAACAGGAUCAGUAAAGGGCCUGCCUGGCUCUAGGCACUCAUUCAGCUGCACUGGAAUUUGGAGAAAGAGGCUGCAGAAUACACCCCUAGCCCUAAUUAGGAAAGAAACAGAGUGGUCUUGAGUCAACUCCUGAAAGCUGUGUGUGCCCUGGAUCAAUGGCCCACGGGACAUGUAGAACAGAGGCAGGAAGUCCCACUGUAAAUGGCAGACUUCAGUUUCCAGGACUUAGAUUCCACUGGGAAGCAGCUGUCCAAUUCACAAAAUUGUCAGUGAUCAAAAUAAAUAUAAUAAAGUAGUUCAUUUUAAGCAAUGCAAAGAAAGCUGAGUGGCAGAUAAAGCUAAAGAUGAGCUCCAGAUGCCACCAGGCAUAGCACGUGGAGGGACUGCAUACCCGCGUCCAGCGUAACUUACAACUCCUGGAAUGCUGGGACUGUGCAGUGUUAAUUCUAAUGGCCCAUGGAGGCAUAAUUAAUUAACCUUUCAGUUACUCUGGGCACUGCCCUUAUCCAAACAUAAAUAUGUGUAUGCCGGGAAAAUUUUGCAAUAUAGAAAGCCGACAUCGUUGACUCCUUAUUCAUAGGCAAAUCCAGUGCUUUUCAAUUUUGACUGUGCAGCAGAAUCACCGAUGGAUUUUAUUUUUAAAAUAGGGGUACGUAUGUCUCAUCUCACCCAGGGUGAGGUCCAUGGAUCUAAUGUUAUGAAGCCCACAGUGGGUCCCAAAUCCCAGCUGAGCUCCAGGACUAGGAAUGUCACCCAGCCUCCCUGCUGUAGAGCUGCACCAUGGCUUUCGUUCUUCCCGUGGUGGAAACAAAGCUUGCCUAGAGUUUCUGGAUGCAGCAUCUCUCCGAAAACAAGCUGGGGCUCUGCCGCCCUCACUGGAGCACAGCCAGUGCUGUGGAGCCCCCAGAGUGGCCACAGGGAUAGAGGGGACUUAAAACUGAGUAGGGGGCAACAGAGUUGGGGGUCUAUCCACCACAUGUGGACACACAGCAAGUCAGGCAUGUGGGAAGGAGGGAACAGCAGCGUGGAAUGGAAAUGGCAAAUGUUCAUCCAGCCAGGUGUUAUUUUAUUUAUGGCUUCUGGGGAAAUGGGAUGAACAAUUUCAGAACAGCCUUGGGUUGAACUUGAUGCUGCAAAUGGAACUUAAUUGCUCAAAUAAUGUCAUAUCAAUUUCAUAUAAAUGAUAAAGAAGGAAAGUCCCUCUUUCUAGAGAGAAAACUCUCCUGACGGCAUCAGGCUGUCCUGGGAAGUCACUGCUUCCCUUUUCUGUUGUGGGGCAUAACGGGAGAUGAAGCUGGGAAUUGACAAUCUCUUUUUUCUGCUGGACUGAAACCUCCUGGAGCAGAAAAAUAGUUUUUUAUUUUGCAAAUGAAAGUCAAAGAUGUGGCAGGAGUUGAGGGUGGGCAUUGCAAGAGCUAAAUCCGGUGCUUCUGACAGCCCAGCCCUAGUGAGAGGCCCCUUCUGAGAGUCCCAGGGACUCUUAUGUAAAUGAAACUCAAAUAGAGCUCCCCACAGCACCUGAGCUUAGGGUCACCAGGCUCUGGGACUCUGUAUGUGCUCCCAGGAGAUUCCAUCCCCAGGAUAACACUGCAGGUCAAUUUGUGCUUUUCCUACCAUGCAAACCAUACUCUGGUAACUGUGCAGGAUUCUAAGAAAUAAACUUAUUGAACCAAAGUAUUGUAUAACUUAUUUUAAGUUAUAUAUUUUUCCUUGUCAUUAGUAACCAAAGAAUAAUU